rnacentral:rRNA from 1 species
AUUGAACGCUGGCGGCAGGCCUAACACAUGCAAGUCGAGCGGAUGAAGGGAGCUUGCUCCUGGAUUCAGCGGCGGACGGGUGAGUAAUGCCUAGGAAUCUGCCUGGUAGUGGGGGAUAACGUCCGGAAACGGGCGCUAAUACCGCAUACGUCCUGAGGGAGAAAGUGGGGGAUCUUCGGACCUCACGCUAUCAGAUGAGCCUAGGUCGGAUUAGCUAGUUGGUGGGGUAAAGGCCUACCAAGGCGACGAUCCGUAACUGGUCUGAGAGGAUGAUCAGUCACACUGAAACUGAGACACGGUCCAGACUCCUACGGGAGGCAGCAGUGGGAAAUAUUGGACAAUGGGCGAAAGCCUGAUCAAGCCAGGCCGCGUGUGUGAAGAAGGUCUUCGGAUUGUAAAGCACUUAAGUUGGGAGGAAGGGCAGUAAGUUAAUACCUUGCUGUUUUGACGUUACCAACAGAAUAAGCACCGGCUAACUUCGUG